UACGUAGGUGGCAAGCGUUAUCCGGAUUUACUGGGUGUAAAGGGCGUGUAGGCGGGGAAGCAAGUCAGAUGUGAAAACCACGGGCUCAACCUGUGGCCUGCAUUUGAAACUGUUUUUCUUGAGUACUGGAGAGGCAGACGGAAUUCCUCGUGUAGCGGUGAAAUGCGUAGAUAUGAGGAGGAACACCAGUGGCGAAGGCGGUCUGCUGGACAGCAACUGACGCUGAGGCGCGAAAGCGUGGGGAGCAAACAGG
rnacentral:rRNA from 1 species